rnacentral:sRNA from 1 species
AUGCCAAACAUGGCCUACUUCGAGUUUCUGCCUCACGAUCCUAACUCGGCCGGGUGGACAACUCGUGACUCACCUCCAAAACUUGUUGACCUUGUUGAUGUAGAAGUUGGGAAAGAGUAUGAGCUUGUGAUCAGUACCUACGUAGGACUUUGCAGGUACCGAGUUGGGGACAUCCUCCGAGUCACCGGGUUCCACAACUCGGCCCCACAGUUCCACUUCGUGAGGAGGAAGAACGUGUUGUUGAGUAUUGACUCAGACAAGACUGACGAGGCCGAGUUACAGAAAGCAGUGGAGAACGCGCUGCAGCUGUUGAAAGAAUUCUUCAUUCAACAAUUACAUUUACAACGUUUGAAGAAGUGUUACUCAAAUAGAAUAUUAAACGAACUACUCAAGCCCGCAACGCUCAAACCCGGUUGCAUCAAAAAUGAAAUCCCUUCCUCCACAAUUACUUCAAAGUUCACAACGCGCACACACUUGCUCCAAAUUAUUUACUACUACUAACUACUACACACAGCACACAGGUCCACACAGAUCAACUAAAAAAACUAAUAUCCAAUCAAAACUUCAAAAAAAAAAAAAAAAGCCCUAAUUUACCAAAAUCAAAAACAAAAAACCACAAAGAAAGUUCAUUUCAGAGGAAAAAAAAGAGACGUACUGAUGGUGACAUCACCGUCGGGGCUCUUCUUUAAAUCAGCCGAUCUUCUUCCCCUAUCUUCUUUAAAUUUGCUGGGUUUGUAUUUUGCUCAUCUUGUUCUUGAUGGGUUUGUGUUUUGUUCAUCUCUUUGGUUUUUAUUUCUGUUUUUAAUUUUUUUUAUUUAGUUAAUUUUUUUAAUUUAGUGGCCACAUGGACACAGUGGACAUUAUUUUAAUAUUUUAAAUUUUUUCCGUUUGUCACGUGUGCAUUUUCUGUCUCUGAUGUAACGGCAGGAACUAAAAUGGGAAGUGUUUUUCAAGAUAGGGACUAAAAGCGGUAAAAAUAAAAUGUAGGGACUAAAAUGAGAAUCGCCUGAAAAUGUAGGGACUAAAAUGUGCUUUUCGCCAUAAAAAUAUUAUCAAGCCCUAGGAACCCAAUAGGCCCAAAAAUUAGAACAAUGCUGAACGUUAGUGGAAUGGGCUUGGGCCCGAUAGUUAGGUUGAUACUGGAUAGUUGAGCGUCUGACUAUGUCAAAGUUUAGUGAAAUUAUUCAAUGUAUCUAGUGUACUACACCCUCCUCUUAUAUAACUAUAUAAAGAUGGGAUAUAUAUGGAUCCCCUGCUUAUUCUUACUAAAAUGCUUGUAUAAAAUAAUUUCUUUGAAGUUGGAACAAGGAUAAAUGUUUGAAUAAUGUUGAAUGUAUUUGGAUCUUAACUAUGAAUUGUAUAUGUAUAUAUAUACACAAACACAUACACACAACAAUAAGAGAGGGUAGGUUUGAACUUCGGUUUUCCUCGUUUAAAAAAAAAAAAGAAAAAGAAGAAGAAGAAGAAGCAAACAAUGCCACUAAACUACUAGACUUUUGGACUCUACAAGGUACAUUAAUUACAUUAUUCAUGUGGCCAAAAAAAAUAAAAGAAAAUUUUUGUAUUAUUGUGUAAACAAUUUACAAUUUGAAAAAUUGUAAUACUCCCACACUAGAAAAUUAUUUGUUUACCUUUAAAAAUCCAAUUUUUUUUUUUUAGGAAAUAUCAUUUAAUGUAUUAUCUUUGAAACAAUUUUUUUUUUUUAUAUAAAAAAAAAAAAAAAUCUCCCAUGAAUUUAAACUCAAAUAAACUAAAUGAGAAAAGAGCGUUGAGUACAUUUUUCAAAAAGUAGAAAUUUUGUUAAGUGGGCCUACUUGAGUGAGUUGAUAAUUGGGCCAUGAGUCCAUGAGUGAACAUAAACCCGGCCCAUCCACUAUAACAAAAAAACAAAGGUCAAAACAAAAAGUGUAUAAAGUACGAUUCCCGCUAUUCUUUGAUGAAACUCCCGCGUCACUCAGAUUAGAGAGAGAGAGAGAGAGAGAGAGAAAUGUUUGGGAAAAUCAGAGGAGCUUCGACUUCGUCACUGGACAGCUUGGAGUUAGAGAGACCAACUUCCAAGAUUUUCAGAGACGACCCUCUCUCCAUCUAUGGUACUCUUUCUCUCUCUCUCUCUCUCUCUCUAGCAGAAUACUAGGAUUAUUGAUUGGUUCAUGAAAUAUAUGUUUCACAACCAUUUACAUUAGAUCCUUGUUUGUUGUAUUAAAAUAGAAAAUUUCAACAAUCUCGUUCGAUGUUUUCAUUGAACUAAUAAUGUUUUCAAGUUCCGUGUUGAAAACAUUAUCGGUAAGCUGAUGGGUUGGAACUUUUAUUUAUUUAUUUUUAAAUUUGGUUUAAAGCUCGGGUUGGGUCAGGAUUCGGGUCGACCAAAAUUUCAAAACUGACCCAAAAUUUGACAGUUUGAUUUGUUUUAUAUUUUGGGAUUUAUUUGUUUAAAUUUGUUAUUUUGAUGUUUUGAGAAUUACUUGUGAUGAAAUUGGAGUAUUAGGAUGAGACCCAAUUGUAUAAAUUGUAAAUAUUUUAUUAAAUAAUAGACUUUUAAAUAGUUGAUUGAAAAUGCAUUUUUUUUUAUAAAAUUUUUAUUAAGCUUGAUGACUAAACCCAACUCAAUUUGCCUCUAUGGGAAAUGGGAUUGGGUUAGGUUGGUUGGAUUAGAGAUUUCUAAACCCAGGGAGGUAAAGUUGGGGAUUAAAAUUUUCUCGAAUUCAAUCUGACCCAGCCUAUGCAUACCCCCUUUGAGUUCAUGUGUGUAUAAAUUGUAACAUGCUUAAUAAUUUUCAGAAUUGUCAGGUAAAUAUUGAUCAUUUUCUUACAUAGAGGUUGUUCUUGUUUUAUAAUAUGGGGAUGUUUGUGAUCAAGUGUGCUCUAUGAACAUAAAUUUGUUUCAAUUGAGAUUUAAAGAUAUACAUAGUGCAGACUUUAGCUUUAGUGUUAGCAAUGUAAGAUAGUGUUGAUUAGUGUUGGAAGCUUGUGCGGAAGGGUUGAAUGAUAUUUUUUUUUGAGGGCGUUAAAUUAAAUUUGAUUCCUUUUUGUUGCAGAGGUUACACUCAUGAAGCUUAAAUUAGGCUCUCAACGUGAGCUAAGUUCACACUCCGAGCAGACAGUGCCGCAGAUAGAAACUGAUUCUGCUUCAAGCUCCUCUUGUGCAGGGGUGAUGAAGAUAAAUGCUGAUUGUUCUGAAAAAAGUUCUCAAGACAUUGUGGUUUCCCCUUAUGAGGAAGUAAUGGCAAUAGAUACAGAAUGUUCAUCUGGGAGUGUUUCACUGGGUUCAAUUGAUUCUCCUUGUUUGGGCAGCAAGAAACAGCAACAGAACAGGAAUGUUUCGGUUCUUUACCUCUUUUCUAAAUUUAAGGAUUCUCGUCGACAAGUUGUAACCUCAUCCUGCGAGGAUGCAAUGCCAAUAGAAGAUGGUUGUUCUGAAAGUUCUAGGACAAAUUCUAGUGAUUGUCUUCAAUCUCUUAAAAGCAUGGAACAGCAGAUGGAAAAAAAAAAAAAGCCCUAA